AAAGUUCUUCCUGAUGUUUCGUUGGACUCUCCUUUCUUGUGACUUGAUGCCAUCGGUUCAGGUCCUACCCUCUGGAAUGUAUGCUCCAUCUUCCAUGUAAGAGCCCUUAAGAUAUUUGAAGAUGGCUAUCACCUAUCAGUCAUCUUCUCUCAGUCUCCUCUUCUCCAGGCUAAACAUACCCAGCUCCUUCAAC